GGAUAACCUACCCUUAGGACUGGGAUAACCCUGGGAAACUGGGGAUAAUACUAGAUAGGCAAUUUUUCCUGGAAUGGUUUUUUGUUUAAAUGUUUUUUCGCCUAAGGAUGGGUCUGCGGCCGAUUAGGUAGUUGGUUAGGUAACGGCUUACCAAGCCAUUGAUCGGUACGGGUUGUGAGAGCAAGAGCCCGGAGAUGGAACCUGAGACAAGGUUCCAGGCCCUACGGGGUGCAGCAGGCGCGAAACCUCCGCAAUGUGAGAAAUCGCGACGGGGGGAUCCCAAGUGCCAUUCUUAACGGGAUGGCUUUUCAUUAGUGUAAAGAGCUUUUGGAAUAAGGGCUGGGCAAGACCGGUGCCAGCCGCCGCGGUAACACCGGCAGCUCUAGUGGUAGCAGUUUUUAUUGGGCCUAAAGCGUCCGUAGCCGGUUUAAUAAGUCUCUGGUGAAAUCCUGUAGCUUAACUGUGGGAAUUGCUGGAGAUACUAUUAGACUUGAGACCGGGAGAGGUUAGAGGUACUCCCAGGGUAGAGGUGAAAUUCUGUAAUCCUGGGAGGACCGCCUGUUGCGAAGGCGUCUAACUGGAACGGUUCUGACGGUGAGGGACGAAAGUUAGGGGCGCGAACCGGAUUAGAUACCCGGGUAGUCCUAACUGUAAACGAUGCGGACUUGGUGUUGGGGUGGCUUUGAGCUGCUCCAGUGC
rnacentral:rRNA from 1 species